rnacentral:rRNA from 1 species
UACGAAGGGUGCAAGCGUUACUCGGAAUUACUGGGCGUAAAGCGCGCGCAGGCGGCGGUGCUGGCCCGGCGUGAAAGCCCCCGGCUCAACCGGGGAGAGUCGUCGGGGACCGCACCGCUUGAGGGCGGUAGGGGCUGGUGGAAUGCCUGGUGUAGCAGUGAAAUGCGUAGAUAUCAAGUGGAACACCAGUGGCGAAGGCGAGUCUCUGGACAUUUCCUGACGCUGAGGCACGAAAGCCAGGGGAGCAAACGGG